CCCUUAGAUGUCCUGGGCCGCACGCGCGUUACACUGAUGCAUUCAACGAGCUUAUAGCCUUGGCCGAGAGGCCUGGGCAAUCUUGUUAACGUGCAUCGUGAUAGGGAUAGAUUAUUGAAAUUAUUAAUCUUGAACGAGGAAUUCCUAGUAAACGCAGAUCAUCAAUCUGCAUUGAUUACGUCCCUGCCCUUUGUACACACCGCCCGUCGCACCUACCGAUUGGAUGGUCCGGUGAAGCCUCGGGAUUGUGGUUCUUGCCGCUUUAUUGUAGCGUGACCGCGAGAACUUGUCUAAACCUUAUCAUCUAGAGGAAGGUGAAGUCGUAACA
rnacentral:rRNA from 1 species